UUGGCGGACGGGUGAGUAACGCGUGGGUAACCUGCCUCACACUGGGGGAUAACAGUUAGAAAUAGCUGCUAAUACCGCAUAAGCGCACAGGACCGCAUGGUCUAGUGUGAAAAACUCCGGUGGUGUGAGAUGGACCCGCGUUUGAUUAGCUAGUUGGUGGGGUAACGGCCUACCAAGGCGACGAUCAAUAGCCGACCUGAGAGGGUGACCGGCCACAUUGGGACUGAGACACGGCCCAA
rnacentral:rRNA from 1 species